UACGUAGGGUGCAAGCGUUGCUCGGAAUUACUGGGCGUAAAGCGCACGUAGGCGGCUUUCUAAGUCGGGGGUGAAAUCCUGGAGCUCAACUCCAGAACUGCCUUCGAUACUGGAGAGCUUGAGUCCGGGAGAGGUGAGUGGAACUGCGAGUGUAGAGGUGAAAUUCGUAGAUAUUCGCAAGAACACCAGUGGCGAAGGCGGCUCACUGGCCCGGUACUGACGCUGAGGUGCGAAAGCGUGGGGAGCAAACAGG
rnacentral:rRNA from 1 species